UACGUAGGGUGCAAGCGUUGUCCGGAAUUAUUGGGCGUAAAGAGCUCGUAAGGCGGUUCGUCACGUCGGCUGUGAAAUCCCGAGGCUCAACCUCGGGUCUGCAGUCGAUACGGGCAGACUGGAGGUAUGCAGGGGAGAACGGAAUUCCUGGUGUAGCGGUGAAAUGCGCAGAUAUCAGGAGGAACACCGGUGGCGAAGGCGGUUCUCUGGGCAUGUCCUGACGCUGAGGCGCGAAAGCCAGGGGAGCAAACGGG
rnacentral:rRNA from 1 species